GCAAGGAACUCGUCGCCCGCUCCAGCGACUACCUGGAUGGACAACUGACCCUGGGCGAGCGCCUGAUGGUCCGUCAGCACCUGUUGUUCUGUCGCCAUUGUCGGCGCUUUCUCAAGCAGAUGCGCGUGGCCCAGGCCACGGUACGGGCUUUGCCGGAACAACCGGCGGGCGACAGCGAGGCACUGGCCGAGCGUCUGGCGCGGGAGCUGAAAAACUCCUGAAUCCGG
rnacentral:misc_RNA from 1 species